rnacentral:tRNA from 1 species
GCACCCAUAGUUCAACGGAUAGAAUAUCGGUCUUCGGAACCGAGGAUGGGGGUUCGAUUCCCUCUGGGUGCACCC